CAGCCGCCGCGGGAAAACGGAGGGUGCGAGCGUUAAUCGGAAUUACUGGGCGUAAAGAGUGCGUAGGUGGUUAAUUAAGUUAUCUGUGAAAUUCCUGGGCUUAACCUGGGCAGGUCAGAUAAUACUGGUUAACUCGAGUAUGGGAGAGGGUAGUGGAAUUUCUGGUGUAGCGGUGAAAUGCGUAGAGAUCGGAAGGAACACCAGUGGCGAAGGCGGCUACCUGGCCCAAUACUGACACUGAGGCACGAAAGCGUGGGGAGCAAACAGGAUUAGAUACCCCCGUAGUCCCUGUCUCUUAUAC
rnacentral:rRNA from 1 species